rnacentral:lncRNA from 1 species
CCAUCUAUAAAAGAGACCCCCAGAUAUGUUCUUCUCUAAGCUCUAAACUCUAUCUUGAAACUCUGCUAAAAUCCCAUUCGAGUGCUCCAUUUCUGUUGAGGCAGAGUAUUGACUUGAGCAUCGGAGGAUCUUGUCGGAGCACCCCCAACUCCAAUUUAGACUUUCUUUGUAGGUCCCGAUGGCGGCCGCGAUCCCCUCAACUCCAGCU